GUUGGUGGGUGACGUAUUGGGAGAGCAGAGCAGUGAGAGGAAGUGGGGCAUUGCCUGGAUUUCACGGAUUUACCUCCAUUUGUACCCCCAUCUCCACCUCCUUCAUGUACUUUAUACGGGCCUCUAUCAUAGGUCUUAUCAAUCCAGCCCAGUCUAAAUUAUAUAAACUCUUCUCUGGCAUAUUUGACAAAGAAUGAAGGAUUUCUGCAGUUUCUCAGUAAUUAUUCUUUAAAUAUUAAUAAUUGAGAUAAAGACAAAAGAAGAGAACACUAAAUUGCAUAAGGAUUCCAAGAUAAAGAAUAUUUGUAGCCACCUAGAAGACUCCUAUGUGCCUCCAUUCAGUGAACACUCACCCGUCAAUGACAGCCACUAUUCUAGUGAGUUUGCCUGUUUUUGAACUUCAGAGAGACUCAGAGUGCGAGUCGGGAGGGACAGAGAAAGAGAGGAAGAC